rnacentral:rRNA from 1 species
GAUUAACGCUAGCGGCAGGCCUAAUACAUGCAAGUCGAGGGGCAGCAGGGGUAGCAAUACUCGCUGGCGACCGGCGCACGGGUGCGUAACACGUAUGUAACCUCUCUUUAACUGGGGAAUAGCUCCGAGAAAUCGGGAUUAAUACCCCAUAACACUGCGAAAUGGCAUCAUUUUGCAAUUAAAGCUCCGGCGGUUAAAGGCGGGCAUGCGUCCCAUUAGCUAGUUGGCGAGGUAACGGCUCACCAAGGCUACGAUGGGUAGGGGUUCUAA